ensembl:snRNA U2 U2 spliceosomal RNA
CAAACAUCUCAGCCUUUUGGCUAAGAUCAAGUAUAGUAUAUAUUCUUAUCAGUUUAAUACCUGAUACAUCCUCUAUCUCAGGACAAUAUAUUGCAUGGAUUUUUGGAAAAAGGAGUUGGAGCAGGAGCUUUCUCUGUCCACUCCAUGCAUUGACCUGCUGUUUCAGUACCUCCCAGGAAUGGUGCAAUCCUU